CAGGAAGGAUGUAUGUCUUUUAUAGAAAUCAGAACCAGCGCACAGUGGUGAAGUUGCUGUCUUCCCAAAGUGUCACAGGCACCAGCACUGGAGGAGUGAGGAUUCUCAGGUUUCACAGACAAUCAGGCCCAAACUGUUUCUAGUCACUUCUCUACUGCCUUAGCCAAUCUAUUAAAAUGCCUGUGUGAUUCUGGAAAGAAAACAAGUGCCCAUGAAAAUGAGACUUAUAAACCCCAGUGACUAUAUUGCUGGGAGGACUGAACUGACUUUCGAAAGUGAGAGUGGCAUGCAGUCCUUAACAUCUCUGGUCUUUAACAACUCCCAUGGGGACCCCUGGCCUGGUGUGAGAGAGAACCGCAGACCUGGAACCAGACCUGGGCUUCUACCUUGGGUCCUGCAUGCCCUACCUCAAUGAUCUUGGUGACAUGGCUUGGCUCUUUGUCCCCACACAAAUCUCAUGUUGAAUUGUGAACCCCAGUGUUGGAGAUGGGGCCUGGCGGGAGGUGAUUGGA
rnacentral:lncRNA from 1 species